rnacentral:rRNA from 1 species
CCUACGGGGGGCAGCAGUGAGGAAUAUUGGUCAAUGGCCGAGAGGCUGAACCAGCCAAGUCGCGUGAGGGAAGACGGCCCUACGGGGUGUAAACCUCUUUUGUCGGGGAGCAAAGAGAGGCACGUGUGACGCAUUGAGAGUACCCGAAGAAAAAGCAUCGGCUAACUCCGUGCCAGCAGCCGCGGUAAUACGGCGGAUGCGAGCGUUCUCCGGAUUUAUUGGGGUUAAAGGGUGCGCAGGCGGAGGUGCAAGUCAGCGGUCACAUUGCGGGGCUCAACCCCGUACUGCCGUUGAAACUGCAUCCCUUGCUUGCGCGUGCCGUCUGCGGCAUGCGUGGUGUCGCGGU